UGGGGAAUAUUGCACAAUGGGCGCAAGCCUGAUGCAGCCAUGCCGCGUGUAUGAAGAAGGCCUUCGGGUUGUAAAGUACUUUCAGUCGGGAGGAAGGUGUCAAGGUUAAUAACCUUGGCAAUUGACGUUACCGACAGAAGAAGCACCGGCUAACUCCGUGCCAGCAGCCGCGGUAAUACGGAGGGUGCAAGCGUUAAUCGGAAUUACUGGGCGUAAAGCGCACGCAGGCGGUUGAUUGAGUCAGAUGUGAAAUCCCCGGGCUUAACCCGGGAAUUGCAUCUGAUACUGGUAAGCUAGAGUCUUGUAGAGGGGGGUAGAAUUCCAUGUGUAGCGGUGAAAUGCGUAGAGAUGUGGAGGAAUACCGGUGGCGAAGGCGGCCCCCUGGACAAAGACUGACGCUCAGGUGCGAAAGCGUGGGGAGCAAACAGG
rnacentral:rRNA from 1 species